rnacentral:misc_RNA from 1 species
CCCGGCUUGUGGUAAGGGAAGAGUUUCCUUGAAAAUCAUCUGAACCCAUGCCCCUAGGACUUGGCAAAAAUGACCCUGGUGGUCCUGGAAUAGGUAUUGGAUCAACAUCCGGAAAAGAGCUGCCUUGCCCAGCUUCUGAAUAAUCCAACUCCACCCCUAUAUCAGCAUCUUGUCCCACCAUAUCAUUGCCAGCUUCAUCAGCAGAAAAUAUCUCUCGGUCAUUGACAAAAUCAGACUCAGUUGGACCUCUUGGCACUUCAUUCCUACAUAAAAGCCCUCCGUAAUUUUCAAAAGAUCGAAAAGAGUUAGAUUGGACCUUCGAGGAAUUACUGAGCUUGUAAAAUUCUGAGUCUACCGACUUAAUUAUGCUGCUUGAGUUCCUGCCAUCAUAAGUCUUAGAAGAUGGCUCAACAACAAUGUCAUCCAUAUAGAUAUGAAC